rnacentral:lncRNA from 1 species
CAUCUUUAGUCAUAAGGGAAAUGCAAAUCAAAACAACCCUGAGAUUUCACCUCACACCAGUGCGAUUGGCUAAGAUCAAAAACUCAGGUGACAGCAGAUGCUGGCGAGGAUGUGGAGAAAGAGGAACACUCCUCCAUUGUUGGUGGGAUUGCAGACUGGUAAAACCAUUCUGGAAAUCAGUCUGGAGGUUCUUCAGAAAAUUGGACAUUGAACUGCCUGAGGAUCCAGCUAUACCUCUCUUGGGCAUAUACCCAAAAGAUGCCUCAACAUAUAAAA